UACGAAGGGGGCGAGCGUUGUUCGGAAUUACUGGGCGUAAAGGGCGCGCAGGCGGCCUUAGAAGUCAGAUGUGAAAUCCCCGGGCUCAACCUGGGAACUGCAUUUGUGACUGCAAGGCUAGAGUACGGCAGAGGGGGAUGGAAUUCCGCGUGUAGCAGUGAAAUGCGUAGAUAUGCGGAGGAACACCAAUGGCGAAGGCAAUCCCCUGGGCCUGUACUGACGCUCAUGCACGAAAGCGUGGGGAGCAAACAGG
rnacentral:rRNA from 1 species